GACGGAGGGGGCAAGCGUUGUCCGGACGCACUGGGCGUAAAGCGUGCUUAGGUGGUGCGAUGCGUCGGCGCUGAAAGCGCCCGGCUUAACCGGGCGACGGGCGACGAUACGAUCGCACUGGAGGCAGGGAGACGUUGGUGGAAUUCCGGGUGUAGUGGUGAAAUGCGUAGAGAUCCGGAGGAAUGCCGGUGGCGUAAGUGGCCAACGAGUCCUGACCUGACACUGAGGCACGAAAGCGUGGGGAGGAAACCGG
rnacentral:rRNA from 1 species